AGGGUUUGAUCCUGGCUCAGGAUAAACGCUGGCGGCGUGCCUUACGCAUGCAAGUCGAACGGGGUUACAGACUUCGGUCUGUAACCGAGUGGCGAACGGGUGAGUAACGCGUAAGCGACCUGCCCGGAAGUGGGGGAUAACUAACCGAAAGGUUAGCUAAUACCGCAUGAGCUCCCCGGUUCAUUCCGGUGAGGAAAGCCGAAAGGCGCUUUCGGAGGGGCUUGCGUCCGAUUAGCUCGUUGGUGGGGUAACGGCCUACUAAGGCUACGAUCGGUAGCUGGUCUGAGAGGACGGCCAGCCACACUGGGACUGAGAUACGGCCCAGACUCCUACGGGAGGCAGCAGCGAGGAAUCUUGCGCAAUGGGCGAAAGCCUGACGCAGCAACGCCGCGUGAGGGAUGAAGGCCUUCGGGUUGUAAACCUCUUUUGCGGGGGAAGAAGUAUGACGGUACCCCGCGAAUAAGCCACGGCUAACUACGUGCCAGCAGCCGCGGUAAUACGUAGGUGGCAAGCGUUGUCCGGAUUUAUUGGGCGUAAAGCGCGCGCAGGCGGCAGGUUAAGUCUGAUGUGAAAUCUCCCGGCUCAACUGGGAGGGGUCAUCGGAUACUGGCCAGCUUGAGGAAGGUAGAGGAGAGCAGAAUUCCCGGUGUAGUGGUGGAAUGCGUAGAUAUCGGGAGGAAUACCAGCGGCGAAGGCGGCUCUCUGGGCCUUUCCUGACGCUGAGGCGCGAAAGCGUGGGGAGCAAACCGGAUUAGAUACCCGGGUAGUCCACGCUGUAAACGAUGGAUACUAGGUGUGGGGGGUAUCGACCCCUCCCGUGCCGAAGCUAACGCGAUAAGUAUCCCGCCUGGGGAGUACGGCCGCAAGG
rnacentral:rRNA from 1 species